ACGCACGCUGGCGGCGUGCUUAACACAUGCCAGUCGAACGCUGAAGCUUGGUGCUUGCCCUGGGUUGAUGAGUGGCGAACGGGUGAGUAAUAAGUGAGUAACCUGCCCUUGACUCUGGGAUAAGCCUGGGAAACUGGGUCUAAUACUGGAUACGACAUGUCACCGCAUGGUGGUGUGUGGAAAGGGUUUUACUGGUUUUGGAUGGGCUCACGGCCUAUCAGCUUGUUGGUGGGGUAAUGGCUCACCAAGGCGACGACGGGUAGCCGGCCUGAGAGGGUGACCGGCCACACUGGGACUGAGACACGGCCCAGACUCCUACGGGAGGCAGCAGUGGGGAAUAUUGCACAAUGGGCGGAAGCCUGAUGCAGCGACGCCGCGUGAGGGAUGACGGCCUUCGGGUUGUAAACCUCUUUCAGCACGGAAGAAGCGAAAGUGACGGUACGUGCAGAAGAAGCGCCGGCUAACUACGUG
rnacentral:rRNA from 1 species